UACGUAGGGUGGCGAGCGUUGUCCGGAAUUAUUGGGCGUAAAGGAGCUCGUAGGCGGUUUGUCACGUCUGCCUGUGGAAAUCCCGAGGCUCAACCUCGGGCCUGCAGUGGUACGGGCAGACUGGAGUGCGGUAGGGGGAGAAUGGAAUUCCUGGUGGUAGACGGUGGAAUGCGCAGAUAUCAGGAGGAACGACCGAGUGGCGAAGGCAGUUCUCUGGGCCGUAACUGACGCUGAAGGAGCGAAAGCGUGGGGAGCGAACAGG
rnacentral:rRNA from 1 species